rnacentral:rRNA from 1 species
UACGAAGGGGGCGAGCGUUGUUCGGAAUUACUGGGCGUAAAGGGCGCGCAGGCGGCUCUGAAAGUCAGAUGUGAAAGCCCCGGGCUUAACCUGGGAACUGCAUUUGAUACUCCGGAGCUUGAGUACGGGAGAGGAUAGUGGAAUUCCCAGUGUAGAGGUGAAAUUCGUAGAUAUUGGGAAGAACACCGGUGGCGAAGGCGGCUAUCUGGACCGUAACUGACGCUGAGGCGCGAAAGCGUGGGGAGCAAACAGG